GGAGACUUUGGCAGUUUGAUGUUGAUGCAAAGCACUAUCGUCGGAAAAAUAAAUACAAGCUGGAGAAGGAAGAAAAGAUAUACACUCUUGUACCAAUUAGAGAAAAGAAACCUACCGAAACUUUUAAAGUGGAGGAAAGAGAUUUUCUCUCAAUUACCAAUAAGCCUUUUAAAAUUGUAGCUGAGCGCAAGGAGACUAAACAGGUGCAUCUUUUGGUGAUAAAAGGCGAAGAAAGAAAGAAAGAGGAGCCAAGCCAAUUGCUAGUAGAGAUGAAAAGCCUAUUAGAGGAGUUUCAUAGUGUGGUUCCUGAUGAAUUGCCCAAUGAGUUGCCAUCUAUGAGGGAUAUACAACACCACAUUGAUUUGGUGCCCUCUAGAGGUGAGCAUUAUUCAGUUCAAACCGAAUA
rnacentral:misc_RNA from 1 species